rnacentral:rRNA from 1 species
GUCUGGGGCCAUGCCUCGAUGAACGCAUCCUGUCUCGUGUGAUCUCGGAAGCCAAGCGGUGCCAGGCCAGGUUAGUACCGGAUAGGAGAGAUCCCUGAGCACAGAGCCAGGAGUCAGCCC